rnacentral:rRNA from 1 species
CAGUAGCCGCGGUAAAACGUAGGUGGCAAGCGUUGUCCGGAAUUAUUGGGCGUAAAGGGCUCGCAGGCGGUUUCUUAAGUCUGAUGUGAAAGCCCCCGGCUCAACCGGGGAGGGUCAUUGGAAACUGGGAAACUUGAGUGCAGAAGAGGAGAGUGGAAUUCCACGUGUAGCGGUGAAAUGCGUAGAGAUGUGGAGGAACACCAGUGGCGAUGGCGACUCUCUGGUCUGUAGCUGACGCUGAGGAGCGAAAGCGUGGGGAGCGAACAGGAUUAGAUACCCCAGUAGUCCCUGUCUCUUAUAC